UGGGGAAUAUUGGACAAUGGGCGCAAGCCUGAUCCAGCCAUGCCGCGUGAGUGACGAAGGCCCUAGGGUUGUAAAGCUCUUUCACCGGUGAAGAUAAUGACGGUAACCGGAGAAGAAGCCCCGGCUAACUUCGUGCCAGCAGCCGCGGUAAUACGAAGGGGGCUAGCGUUGUUCGGAUUUACUGGGCGUAAAGCGCACGUAGGCGGACUUUUAAGUCAGGGGUGAAAUCCCGGGGCUCAACCCCGGAACUGCCUUUGAUACUGGAAGUCUUGAGUAUGGUAGAGGUGAGUGGAAUUCCGAGUGUAGAGGUGAAAUUCGUAGAUAUUCGGAGGAACACCAGUGGCGAAGGCGGCUCACUGGACCAUUACUGACGCUGAGGUGCGAAAGCGUGGGGAGCAAACAGG
rnacentral:rRNA from 1 species